rnacentral:rRNA from 1 species
UGGGGAAUAUUGGACAAUGGGGGAAACCCUGAUCCAGCAAUGCCGCGUGAGUGAUGAAGGCCUUAGGGUUGUAAAGCUCUUUCGGUGGUGACGAUGAUGACGGUAACCACAGAAGAAGCCCCGGCUAACUUCGUGCCAGCAGCCGCGGUAAGACGAAGGGGGCUAGCGUUGUUCGGAAUUACUGGGCGUAAAGCGCACGUAGGCGGCUUUGCAAGUCAGAGGUGAAAGCCCGGGGCUCAACCCCGGAAUAGCCUUUGAGACUGCAUCGCUUGAACAUCGGAGAGGUAAGUGGAAUUCCGAGUGUAGAGGUGAAAUUCGUAGAUAUUCGGAAGAACACCAGUGGCGAAGGCGACUUACUGGACGAUUGUUGACGCUGAGGUGCGAAAGCGUGGGGAGCAAAC